rnacentral:rRNA from 1 species
GUGCCAGCCGCCGCGGUAAUACGAAGGGGGCUAGCGUUGUUCGGAAUUACUGGGCGUAAAGCGUAUGCAGGCGGACUUUUAAGUCGGGGGUGAAAUCCCGAGGCUCAACCUCGGAACUGCCUUCGAUACUGGAAGUCUUGAGUCCGGGAGAGGUGAGUGGAACUCCGAGUGUAGAGGUGAAAUUCGUAGAUAUUCGGAAGAACACCAGUGGCGAAGGCGGCUCACUGGCCCGGUACUGACGCUGAGAUACGAAAGCGUGGGGAGCAAACAGGAUUAGAAACCCCCGUAGUCC